rnacentral:rRNA from 1 species
GACGAACCGUGCGAACGUUAUUCGGAAUCACUGGGCUUAAAGCGCGUGUAGGCGGCCCGGCACGUCCGUCGCUGAAAUCCCCCGGCUCAACCGGGGAAGUGGCGUGGAUACGACCGGGCUGGAGGGGGGUAGGGGGAGCCGGAACUUCCGGUGGAGCGGUGAAAUGCGUUGAGAUCGGAAGGAACGCCCGUGGCGAAAGCGGGCUCCUGGACCCCAACCUGGACGCUGAGACGCGAAAGCCAGGGGAGCGAACGGG